UGCUACCUUUGAAGGACGACCCGACGAGACGCGCCGUACCGGGCUGUAAGGCAAAGACGACGCACC
rnacentral:ncRNA from 1 species